GGAGAGAUGGCUGAGUGGUUUAAGGCAGCGGUCUUGAAAACCGCCGUGUGGGCAACUGCACCGUGGGUUCGACUCCCACUCUCUCCGCCA
rnacentral:tRNA from 1 species